GAAUUUUCCGCGCGGAGCAGAAUUUCUCUCUGUCUUUUCUAAUUAGUUCCACCCGAGAAAUCACAAGAUAAAGAAAAAUUCCGCUCCGCGCGGAAAAUUCUGCCUAGU
rnacentral:miRNA from 1 species